rnacentral:rRNA from 1 species
UACGUAGGGACCGAGCGUUGUCCGGAAUCAUUGGGCGUAAAGAGCGUGUAGGCGGCCACUUAAGUCCUGCGUGAAAUCUUGCGGCUCAACCGCAAGCGGUCGUGGGAAACUGGGUGGCUAGAGUGCGGGAGAGGAGAGUGGAAUUCCUGGUGUAGCGGUGGAAUGCGCAGAUAUCAGGAGGAACACCUGUGGCGAAAGCGGCUCACUGGACCAUAACUGACGCUGAUGCACGAAAGCUAGGGGAGCAAACAGG